UAUACCCCUCCCUCCUAGUAUAAUGGGGUAGUAUACCCCUCCCUCCUAGUAUAAUGGGGUAGUAUACCCCUCCCUCCUAGUAUAACGGGGUAGUAUACCCCUCCCUCCUAGUAUAAUGGGGUAGUAUACCCCUCCCUCCUAGUGGGCCUAGACUUUCCUGGAGCUCCUUGUUCUCCAAGUGAUGCUGAAUCAUCCAACUCUUUAAACCACAGAUGUCUUUACAACAACAUUGAAGAUUUAAAAAAACAAUUUCCCCAAAUUGAGAAAAAUAGACAUUUUCACAACGAGGCUUGCAAAUCAAUUCACCAUGACCAUUUUAACUAUGAAUAGGUAGGGAAAUUGUUUAUAUCAAAGUGUAUAUAAAAUGUUAUCACCAACAUCCUCUCAAGUGAGCAUCACAUGACUUUCAGUAUGAUAUGGAGAGUAGGUAGGCUAGAAAUUGCCUCUAAAUAACCACUGAUAAGAGGUCUGAUCUUAGUUUCACCCCUUAAUGGCUCUGGUUAGGAUUGGGGAUGAGGUAAUCUGGUGGCUAUGAGGUAAUCUGGUGGGGAUGAGGUAAUCUGGUGGGGAUGAGGUAAUCUGGUGGGGAUGAGGUAAUCUGGUGGGGAUGAGGUAAUCUGGGGGGGAUGAGGUAAUCUGGGGGGAUGAGGUAAUCUGGUGGGGAUGAGGUAAUAUGGUGGGGUUGAGGUUCGUCUGGGGAUGAGGUAAUGACGUUUCGCAGACACAGAUCAUUAAGCCUACGCCUAGACGAAAGAGAGAGUUCACCCAAAUGACAUACUAGCAUUGAUUGCCUUACCCUGUAAUCAGCCUAUGGACAAGGUACGACCGCAAUCCAUGCUUUUGUGGAAUAAAUCCAAUGCAAGUCAGUGGUACCGAUGUUACAGCCGUUUUCACGCUUUAUGUUCAAAUCAUAUAAGUAA